rnacentral:rRNA from 1 species
AACAGGUUGAUAUUCCUGUACCACCUCUUUAUCGUUUGAGCAAUGGAGGGACGCAGAAGGAUAGAAGAAGCGUGCGAUUGGUUGUGCACGUCCAAGCAGUUAGGCUGAUAAGUAGGCAAAUCCGCUUAUCGUGAAGGCUGAGCUGUGAUGGGGAAGCUCCUUAUGGAGCGAAGUCUUUGAUUCCCCGCUGCCAAGAAAAGCUUCUAGCGAGAUAAAAGGUGCCUGUACCGCAAACCGACAC